GACGAACCGUGCGAACGUUAUUCGGAAUCACUGGGCUUAAAGCGCGUGUAGGCGGAUGGGAACGUCGGUAGUUGAAAGCCCCCGGCUCAACCGGGGAAGUGGUGCCGAAACGACCCGUCUGGAGGGACGUAGGGGGACCUGGAACUUCCGGUGGAGCGGUGAAAUGCGUUGAGAUCGGAAGGAACGCCCGUGGCGAAAGCGAGGUCCUGGACCGU
rnacentral:rRNA from 1 species